rnacentral:rRNA from 1 species
GACGAACGCUGGCGGCGUGCUUAACACAUGCAAGUCGAACGGAAAGGCCCUGCUUUUGUGGGGUGCUCGAGUGGCGAACGGGUGAGUAACACGUGAGUAACCUGCCCUUGACUUUGGGAUAACUUCAGGAAACUGGGGCUAAUACCGGAUAGGAGCUCCUGCUGCAUGGUGGGGGUUGGAAAGUUUCGGCGGUUGGGGAUGGACUCGCGGGUUAUCAGCUUGUUGGUGGGGUAGUGGCUUACCAAGGCUUUGACGGGUAGCCGGCCUGAGAGGGUGACCGGCCACAUUGGGACUGAGAUACGGCCCAGACUCCUACGGGAGGCAGCAGUGGGGAAUAUUGCACGAUGGGCGGAAGCCUGAUGCAGCAACGCCGCGUGCGGGAUGACGGCCUUCGGGUUGUAAACCGCUUUCGCCUGUGACGAAGCGUGAGUGACGGUAAUGGGUAAAGAAGCACCGGCUAACUACGUG